rnacentral:lncRNA from 1 species
CUGAGCUUUGGGAGAAGCUGACUCCAGGAAUCUUCCUCCAGAGGUGUGUGCUUUGUGCCCUGGUGCGGCUGCAAGUGGGUCACUCGCUGUUCUGUAAUGGGACGUGACCCUAGCAGCCUGACAUUCUGUGGCUGGAUCAGGCAUUGGCAAAGUCAUUAUUCAUCAUGGAUCUAGUCAAACAUCUCACGACCACAUCCAUAGCACGUACUUUGACCAAAAAGUCUCUAUAAAAAACAAUCCCAGAAAGAAAAUGUAAAGAUAAAAUGCUCUGAUAGCACAGGUCUUGGGCUAAAGCCAAACCAACAUCACCAAGAAGAAGAAUUCCUUCUGCUACUGCUGUACUGUACAAGCAAAGAAAGUUUACAAUGGUAAUCACACCCAAUUUUUUUUC